UCAUACGACACUUUAUCUCUGUUUCGAGAUUUUUUGAUGUGUUUAGACUGUUCACUGGUGGUUUUAGGCCUACUAUCUUGAAUGUUUUUCUUCCCAAGCGACUCGUAAAGGCUCGUUUUACCCUCGCUGUCUACAAUUGCGAGUACUUCAAACGAGUUUUCAUGCACGAAAUUAAAGUUGCGGUCAUUGUUCACACGAUUUAACACUUCUUGUUUGUUGUUUUUAAAUGUAGCUUGGUUGUUUUUAAACGUAGCUUUGUUCCAGUUUUUGGAAGCAGGCGAAAUGUUUUGCACUGAGUCCCGCGUGUAGCACGUACCUUGUUUUGAUCGGAGAUCAUAAUUUUCUUUGUUGAGCCAUGAAAUUUCUUUACGAAGCACUUUGACAAUUUUCUGUAGGCUGAUAAGUACUGAUGACAAAAGAUGAAUACUGUGUGGCUAAAAAAAGAGCCUGGUUCUACUGUAGCAAACUAAGAGAUGGUACCACAACUGAUACUGUAACUAACUUCUUACAGAAAACUUUCCUUAGUCACAACAGUUUUACAGUUGAGAAACUGGAAAUAAAGGGAGUAAAUAAUAGAGGGUGCCCAAUGCUCCAGUGAGAUAAACUUCCAAGAUUAAAAGUACUCCAGUGCAAAAGGAAACAUCACCACUGAAAAAUGCAAGCCCCAAACGGCAAUUUUGAAAACUUCAUCAGCAAACUGGAAAGUUUUUUAUGCCAUCUGGUGUGCUAGGAGCGAAAAUUGCCUUAUUUGGAGAUGUCAACACCCAUAUCAGGGAAGAUAGUGACAGUGAGAGAGUUUAUAUGAACUUAGUAAGCAGCUAUGGAUAUUUGUGACAUGUUAUAUAUUCAAGAAGAGGAGAUGUCUGCCUUGAUACAGUUAUUGCAUCAAAAUAUUCGAGGACUGAGGAAUAAAUUUAAUGAAUUAAAUAUCUGCAUAGAUGAAUUAGAGUCAAUUCAAACCCAGCUGACAUAAUCUGCCUCUCUGAACAUCAUGUGACCACUGGUAUAGAACUUUUAAG